AAAACUAACUAAUCACACUGUAAACAUGGCUUAGAGAAAGCUAACAGUGUUGGUGGUUACUCCUGUGUCCAUGGUGCUCAUCAUCACUUUUUGCGGCGUUAAUUUUAAUGAAUAUGUGUUCCAUUAUCCAUGAUGAAAAUUUCCCAAACAACAGUCCUUAAUGUUAUUAAUAUUAUUAUAUGGUCGCAACAAUACAUACUAGUUUACAGUAAAAGCAGAGAUGCAUUAUUUUAAAUAGUAACAAUUGUUUCAUUGAAGUCAGCGACAUUUUCAAAAUGUUACAUUUAAGUGAGUAAUGAAAUAAAAAUAUCGUAUGUAAAGCAGAGGUAAUUUCCAUAAUAACAAUCAUUAGACUCUUCUAUUACUCUCCAGUUUGACCAACAUUAAUGCUUCAUGUGUUUGAUUCUAUGCAAACUCAGUGAUCCUCCUUGUUUCUCAGAUAUAAAAACUUCACAUCAGACUGUCAGUGGAGAUCACAGCACAUCAGUUUCACCAUAAACCAUGUUCUCUGUAGCUCUGCUGCUGCUGUUGGCAGCUGGAUCCUGUGUGAAGUGUGAACAGUUGACACAGCCAGCCUCAGUGACUGUGCAGCCAGGUCAACGUCUGACCAUCACCUGUCAGGUCUCUUAUUCUGUUAGCAGCUAUUACACAGCUUGGAUCAGACAGCCUGCAGGGAAAGGACUGGAGUGGAUUGGAAGUGCACGUGUUGGAUACACCACAGACUACAAAGAUUCACUAAAGAACAAGUUCAGUAUCGACUUAGACUCUUCCAGCAACAGAGUGACUCUAAACGGACAGAGUGUGCAGCCUGAAGACACUGCUGUGUAUUACUGUGCCAGAGACCCACAAUAA